UGGGGAAUUUUGGACAAUGGGCGCAAGCCUGAUCCAGCCAUGCCGCGUGAGUGAAGAAGGCCUUCGGGUUGUAAAGCUCUUUCGGCGGGGACGAAAUGGUUCGUGCCAAUACCACGGACUGAUGACGGUACCUGAAGAAGAAGCACCGGCUAACUACGUGCCAGCAGCCGCGGUAAUACGUAGGGUGCAGGCGUUAAUCGGAAUUACUGGGCGUAAAGCGUGCGCAGGCGGUUUGUUAAGACAGAUGUGAAAUCCCCGGGCUUAACCUGGGAACUGCGUUUGUAACUGGCAGACUGGAGUGUGGCAGAGGGGGGUGGAAUUCCAAGUGUAGCAGUGAAAUGCGUAGAUAUUUGGAGGAACACCGAUGGCGAAGGCAGCCCCCUGGGCUAACACUGACGCUCAUGCACGAAAGCGUGGGGAGCAAACAGGAUUAGAUACCCAAGUAGUCCCU
rnacentral:rRNA from 1 species